rnacentral:rRNA from 1 species
AACGAACGCUGGCGGCAUGCCUAACACAUGCAAGUCGAACGAGACCUUCGGGUCUAGUGGCGCACGGGUGCGUAACGCGUGAGAACCUGCCCUUAGGUUCGGAAUAACUCCCCGAAAGGGGUGCUAAUACCGGAUAAUGUCUUCGGACCAAAGAUUUAUCGCCUUUGGAUGGGUCCGCGUUGGAUUAGCUAGUUGGUAGGGUAAAAGCCUACCAAGGCGACGAUCCAUAGCUGGUCUGAGAGGAUGAUCAGCCACACUGGGACUGAGACACGGCCCAGACUCCUACGGGAGGCAGCAGUGGGGAAUAUUGGACAAUGGGCGAAAGCCUGAUCCAGCAAUGCCGCGUGAGUGAUGAAGGCCUUAGGGUUGUAAAGCUCUUUUACCCGGGAUGAUAAUGACAGUACCGGGAGAAUAAGCUCCGGCUAACUCCGUG